rnacentral:rRNA from 1 species
GAAUUUAAGCAUAUUAUUAAGCGGAGGAAAAGAAACUAACCAGGAUUCCCCUAGUAAGGGCGACUGAAACGGGAUAUGCUCAGGAUGUGAAUCUGCGCUUUGCGCCGAAUUGUGGUCUGUAGACAGUGACGUUACUUGCCGGGCCAAGUCCCUUGGAAAAGGGCAGCUGAGAGGGUGAGACUCCCGUCCGCCUGGCAGGGUGAGUUACUAGUCAAGGAGUCGAGUUGUUUGGGAUUGCAGCUCAAAGUGGGUGGUAAAUUCCAUCUAAGGCUAAAUAUUGGUGGGAGACCGAUAGCGUACAAGUACCGUGAGGGAAAGAUGCAAAGAACUUUGAAAAGAGAGUUAAAGAGUACCUGAAAUUGCUGAAAGGGAAGCGAAGGAAACCAGUGCCUUGCCUGGUCAUAUUUCCCUGGCCGCUUGCGGCUUGGGCGCUGUGUCCGGCUUGCGUUGUGUUUGGUUGUGACUUGCGGAAGAGCGUUGGGGGAGUUGACCCUGAUUGCUAGCGUUUGUCUUGACUGAGCAGGACGAAAUGGUUUUCUUUACCCCGUCUUGAAACACGGACCAAGGAGUCUAACAUAUGUGCGAGUACAGGAGUGGCAAACUCCCGUGCGUAAUGAAAGUGACAGUGGUUGGAAUUUUGCACAAUCCGCCGGCCUCAAUCCCUCGGGAGAACGGUCUGAGUGUGAGCAUACAUGUUGGGACCCGAAAGAUGGUGAACUAUGCCUGAAUAGGGUGAAGCCAGGGGAAACUCUGGUGGAGGCUCGUAGCGAUUCUGACGUGCAAAUCGAUCGUCAAAUUUGGG